UCUGUACGGGAAGGAUGAGAAGCUUCUACCAGGGUUCGAUUCGAGCGCAGCGAGAAAGCGUUGCCGCAGGCAACGACCCGAAGGGCGAAGCGCGCAGCGCUGAGUCAUCCUUCCCCCACCACCA
rnacentral:sRNA from 1 species